AGGGUAGUAUUUUAUUCCUCUUGAAAUUAACAAACAUAUAAAUGCAAAUGAAUACAUUAAUUCCCAUGGGAGGUCUCUACAAACCUGAGACUGAAAUAUUUUAAUAGAAAGCCUCUAGAACAAUGUAUAGAGUGGCUUAGUAAACAAGAACUACUGAUCACCUUAUGCAUUUCACCAUUAAUAAUCGCUUCUGGUAAGUAAUGAAUACUUAUAUUCUCAAAAUAUUUUGAGCAAAAAAGUUCUCAGCUAUAGCCUAGUUCAAUCCAACUUUUCUGGUAAGACACAGAAAGAUUAAAUGUCUUAUUUAAAAAUCACAGUUAAUCACUGAAAUUAAAAAUACUGCAAAUAAAAGUUUCUGACAUCCCAUUGUUUCUUUCUUCAAUAUUGCAUGCUCUGUUGAUGUAAGUCAAUAGUUUAUGGUUAGCGACGUCCUCUGUAAUACGUAAGCAUGGUACUCUGAGGUCAGAGGUUUAGGUUAAUAAAACACAAGAGGGUUGUUAUUUAUUUUCUGCUUAAUAUAAAAAGGAAUAAAGAACCUGAGGCAGGAAAAGAAAUUCCAAAGGUAAGGGACAAGAAUGGAGGUAAGUACGAAAGACCAAGAGCCAGGAAAGCUGGAUUUGAUUGUGAUUCAUUCUUGUUAAGUGGUCUUGAAUUAGCCAUUUGCCCCCAUUGGCUUCCGUUUCUUCAUUUGUAAAAUUAAGUCAAUAAUACCUGGCCAUUCAUUUGUAAGUCUCUCAGUUUAUAAGUGAAUAUGUGUUGGAUUUCAAAAACUAUUAAUAUCGAUUAAACAUCUUCUGGGAACCUUUUUCAUAUAUGCCCUCUGUUAUAACUUGAGCCAGAUUGACACAAUUGGUAUUAGAAUGAGGAGACUGUGUUGCAGAGAAUUUAUUUGACUUUCCAACAGUCACUUAGCUAGUGGGUUACAAGGCUACAGUUUGAACACAGCUCGCAAACCCAUUGCUUUUUAAAAACCAGUAAUACCACUACUUAUUCACUUUAUCAUGGUAUUUAAAUUUCAAGCAUGACCAAAUAAACACAUGCUUAUGCUUACAAACAUAAAUGCUACUGAAACAAAAGUUUCAGAAAACAUUAUUCAUACUGCAUUUCAAUAUAUUAUACUUUUGAAAUCCUAGUCACAAUCCCCUAAACUGAUUUUGUAACCAACUAACUCACAAGUCGCAGUUAGAAAAUAGUCUUAGAUUACAUGACACACAUGCUUUUUUCAUUAAAAACCCCAUUUAAAUGAAAUGACCCUUAAAGUCCAUUCCGGUUCUAAAACUGGACAUUUAAUACAGUAAGUAAACAUGAAGAUGCUUUAGAAAAUUUAAAGUGCUAUAUAAAUGUGAGGUGGCCGUAACACACCCAUUUAUCACAUGUGAGCAUCUAUAUGGACCCAAAGCACUGCAAACUCCACUCAUCACUAUCUCCAUGCCAGAGGGUAAGGGCAGGCAUUUUGAGUCUUUAACAGCUCAAGAAAGACUGUCAUAAAUAGCUGUAAUUUGUCCUGACAUUUAGAAAGUUGAUAUCCCAGUGAAGAAGUUAUUAGAUUGGAGAACUCUGAGAAUAAGAGAUGCUUACGCAAUUUGACUUCCUUUCGUAUGCAAUAUAUAGUCUCCACAGAGAAUUGGCCAACUUUAAUGUCAACCAGAAUGUUUAUAUUCACUCAGAGAUCAUCUUGACAAUGAAAUGUCUUUUACUGACAUAAAGUUACAGAUGUGAAUUUCCUUUUAAAAAAGAGCUAUAUAAUAAUAUGGCAGCUUUUUCUUAUUAUAAAUGGAAUAUUCUAAUAAGCAUAAAUAGCCCACAAAGCAACUUUGAAGGCCUUUUUAUUAGAACCAGUUUUUAUAGUAGCUGAGAAGUUCGCAGAGUAAAAACAAUAAAGACAUUGAUUCAAUUCUCCCAUACACAUUUAGAGUAAAUAUUCUAGAGCAAUGUUCUUUCCUGUCAUAGAAAAAAGAUGCCUCAAUGUCUGUGCCCCACCUACCAUAGCAUGGUUUUCUUGUCUGCAAUGAGCCUUUCCCCUCCUACCACAGGGCUAGCUCAGAUGCUCUCCCCACUGCCUAGAAAACACCUAGCACCCUACUUUAACUCCUGCUCAUCCUUGAAAACUCAUUUCAAAUAUUACUCCCUCUAGCCUCUUCCCUUGGUCACUCCCAUAGUUAAACUUUCAUGGCACAUGCACCUCUUAUUGUUGUGGCUAUUAAUAGAAGUGUGAUUUAUUAUUUAUUUGUCCAAUUAUUUGAUUAAAAUGACUCCCAUACUAGAUUCAAACUCUAAGAGGACAAGAACUGUGUCUUUUUGGUCACUGUUCUACCCUCAGGGCCUAAUAGAGCACCUGUAACAUGCAAAAUACUAAGUUAAUGUUUUUUGAGAAAAUAAAUGGUUCUCUUAUGGAGAAGACUCCAUCCACUCUCAGUUGCUAUGCUUCGUAACCUCCUCCAAAUGCUACAUCUUUAUUCUUUGAAGGCCUUCUACACCAAGGAGCUAAUGUUUUAUGAGAAUAAAAUAAUCAAGUUAGCAAUUAUAAAUAUAAUUUUGCUUUUUAUUUAUUAUUAUUUUUGAGACAGUUUCACUCUUGUCACCCAGGCUGGAGUGCAGUGUGGUAAUCUCAGCUCACUGCAGUCUCUGCCUCCCGGUCCAAGCAGUUUUCCUGCCUCAGCCUGCCAAGUAGCUGAGAUUACAGGCACACACCACCACACCCAGCUAAUUUUUGUAUUUUUAGUAGAGACAGGGUUUCAUCAUGUUGGUCAGGCUGGUCUUGAACUCCUGACCAGCCUCCCAAAGUGCUGAAAUUACAGGUGUGAGCCACCCUGCCUGGCCUAAUUCUGCUUUUUUAAGUUGAUGACUAAAGAAAGAAUCCAAGAGAAAGGGAAAGAGGUUUUGUGUGAAGUUAUAUGCUGUAGCGUUAUCUUAACAAUAUUAUAGAAACAACCUUAAUAUCCAACAAGAAGGAAGUGGUAAAACAAGGUACAUCCAUUCAAUAGAGUGUUAUCUAUACAUUGAAAUGAUUAAUUAUGAACAUUAUCUUUUAAAAAGAAAAAUAUUCAUAGUAAAUUAGGCUAACAAGGACAAAAGACCAAAUUAUAUAGCUGUCUUCUAAUAUACAAAGCAUACAUUAAUCUAAAAAGAUGGAUUGGAAAAAAAAAACAUGGAUAGGAAAAGCAACUUGAUAUGGGAGUGUGAUAAUUAAUAUUUUAAUUUUAUUUUUGUUGUGAUAUUACUUGUAUCAAGAGAAUCAUUUAAAAAUAUACAUAAAUACUCAAGAGUCUGACUGUAAAAUAUUUUUAACCAAAACUUUAGAUACCUACUUUGAGAAUCCUAUAGCAUGUUAUAUGUUGUAUAUUUUCCAGUGUAAAGAACAAUUGGGUCAUGCCUUUGAAUGAAGACUGUGAGUACCAACAGACUCUCAAUCUCAUUCUUGGUAACUCUAUGAUUUAUGGCUAUUGAAUAUACCUAAAUACAAUCCAAAAUUAACAUUGUUCCAAAAAAAAGAUUGUGUCAGCUCCUUGGAAUAUUACAGCGUGCUUUCAGUCACAUGGUGGUAAUGGAGAUGGACACGUGCUGGUGUGGAAUAUAGAUGAACUUAGUUGCAUUCUGUUUAGAAAUCAACACCUGAGCAGCUCCAAGAAUUUGUCCUCUGAGAAUUCCUCCCUGAUUCCAAUUAGGAAGUUAAUUCAUUACUCAACCAGGUGAGCUCUACCCUAAGAGCGCUGAUUCACUGAGGCACACAUGGUCACCUAGGACAAGUAAGUUCUUCUGUUAUUCAUGCCAAUAACUGAUGUUCGUUUUUGAUGUGCCAGACACAUCACUGAGCAUACCAAUAUUUCAUCCUCACAACAACCCUACGGAUUAGGCAUUAUGAUUAACCCCCACUUUUUAAUUAAAGUAGUUGAGACACCAUAAUUAUUACGUAACCUGCCCAAGCUCACACAGCUAGUAGGUGUUCUAAGUCAGAAACUAGACCUAGAACCCACAUAUUUAAGCAUUACUCUGCAGUACUAUGAAAAUGUGAGUCUGCAAAACUUAAGAAAAAAAAUUGGCGAGUUAGGAAAUAAUUGGUUCAAUCCUAUAUUGUUAAAUUCACAUUAAGUAUAGAGCUUCCUAUACUUCAUAUAUCAUCAGAAACAAACUAAAAUAGGAGAAAGAAAUCCCACAUUCACUUCUGCCUGCUGCAGAGCCAUGAAAGCAUAUAUGCUGUGACUGUCGAAAAAUUGCUCGUCUCAUCAUUUUCAAAAGUACUUUGAAGCUCUGUGCAAUGGCCCAAACAUAUUCACAAGCCCAUGACUUAUAGUACCAGAUAAAUCCCAUGGUGUGGGGGAGAGAGGCUCUCUGAUGACAGGCACUUCCAGGAAGAAGCAUCCGGCUUCAGAAUCCUCACUUUACCACUUGUCUUUGCCUUGGAAAACAGCCCAUUUCUGAGUCCCUGUGGGACCCAGCAGUCACCAGGCAAUGGGAGUGCAGUCUCCACUAUCCUUAGACAAUGUGUAAUAUCAGCUACAAGAACGGGGACAGUCCCUGUGCUCAGCACUGCCUUGGCUGUCACAGCCAGGGACAGACUUUAAAAUGACUCAAUAGUGAGACAUAAAAAUAUCAAGGUCAUGGACUGAUGCUGCGUCUGAGGGAGUGGGAGACUUUGUAAACUAUGAAAGGUUGAAGGUUAAAUUACUACUAUUUUUCACCUUUGUCCCAACCAAAGAGACUGUUAACAAGCUGUUAGUAAGCAUGACUUGUGAUAAGAGAGUGAGAAAAAAAAAAUCUGAGUAGGAAAUAAACAAUUUGUUGACAACAGGAAGAAAACUGGGCUCGAGGCCAAAUACCUGCUCAUCUCCCUGGAGCUGCAGCUUAGCCUGUGAGAGCAGCACACUCAGGGGCUGAAGACUCCACGGAUUUGCGUCCCUGUUGCUUCUGCGAUGGAGUGGCUUUCAAAAGCGAAAACAAAACGCAGGGGAAGAAAGGGUUGAAAGUGAACAGCCAAUCAUUCUCACGAAAACAAAAUUUUAAAACAAUCCACAUUUUAAGCAAAUAAAAUUCUGGCAGGAGAUUCUUGGGCAGAGAAUUUAUUAUACAAGCAUUCUCAAUCAACUUCUUUUGUUCCAACUGCUACCCCCCGUGCCCGGCCCAAAGAAUGUCUUACUUUCCUUAAAACAUGCUAAACUCAACAUUAUUGAGCAGAAACCUUUUCAAUCUUUAUCUUAGCUAAGACAGGUGACUGUGCUUUAAGUUACUAAAAAUUUAGGAAGGGCAAAAAAAGAAAAUGACAAUAAAAUAAAAAGUGCCGUUUCUCAAAAUCAAUGAAAGUGACAAAGAAUUUUACAUAGUCUCAAAUCCUGUUGUCCUAACCCUAAAAUACUGGUUUUACUUUGAACAUUCCUUGCCCAUCCAGUUUGUUACUUUCUAGGGAAAGUAUGACAGAUAACUAAAAUGUCUGCGUGUGGUGAGUGGAGUGGGGAAAGAGAGGAGGAGAUAGAAAAGAGGCCCUUUGUGUCACAUUUUUGUCCAAGGUCUGAAUUACCACUGAGUUAUGCUACUCUAAAUCCAAAAUUUUCACCAGGAGAGUUUUGAAGUGCUCAUUUCCCUGGAUCUCCACCAGUAUCAAGCCUGUGUUCAGGCAAAUGACAAUCAACGAUCACUUGUUACCUAAGAACUAGGUACUCACUUUUAGGAGUUCCUUCUGGAGCCAGUAAGAGAACUCAACUUUCUUUUUUCCUUUUCUUUUUUUCGGGAGCCUAGUUCUUUCUCACUUUGUUCAGGUUUCCAGUCUUAAAAGCUGUGUCAGCUAGAAAGAAGGUGUUUGAUACUAUGAGACUAGCUACUCCUGAUGCAGGUUUCAGCUGCACCCAACUGUUAAAGAAUGCUGGGAGGUUUAUUCAUCAGGUGAAAUCACUUCUUCCAUUCUGGAAGUGAGCUCACAAAAGUCACUCCCUGCUGUUAUAACCCAUAGUGAUAGUGUGGGGAAGAACAAGAUUAUUUCACAAAAUUCUCACAUUAUGUCUAUUUAAAUGUUAAACAAAUUCACCAGGAUUGGACUGUCAUAAACAUAAAUAAAUAAGCAAAGAAGAAAUUAAUGUGCCAUUACUGAUGCUGUGCUUAAUUUCAAAUCAUAGUCUGGUCAUCUGAUUCUUUUAUGCCAAUAUUUAACUAUAUUCAAAGAACCUGUAACAUUGUUUCCCAGAGUAUAAUCUGUAAACGACCUGCCUCAAAAACCCAAGAUGCUUGCUGAGAAUAUAGACUCUGACAGCAUCCCAGCUUCAGUGCAUCAGAAACUGUAGUGGUGGGAUCCGAUCCGGGAAUACAUAGUUUCUUUAUAAGCUUCCUGAUGUUUCUUAAGCAUGCUGAUGUGUGAUUGUUCUCAAACCUUUCUAAAGUGCAUGAGAAUCACUUUGAAACAUUUAAAAUGCACAUCCUCAGGGACUGGGAUUCAGUAUUUCUGAGUUAAGCCCAGCAAUCCACAUUUUUAGAAAGAACUCUGGUAGUUCUGAAAUAGGAGCACACUUUUAGCCACACUGCAUAGAGCUUCUAGGUGCUCGACGAUGCAAGCAGCUCUACUUCCCAACUCUUCACUACUGCUAUGUCUCAGUUUUCUUUCAACUUACAAGUCCUGGCCUUUCCCAUUCUCUCUCUGGUUUGUUUCUCAGGGCUGCUUCCCCUCAUCCUUUCCAUUCCAGGUCAGCCUUCUCUAUUGAUUCAAAUGCACAAGGAAGCUUCAUUAAGAGUAAAGAUAUUUCAGUGAAUAUGCAGCUACAGUAGAGAUAAAUCACAAAUAGAAUUCUCAUUGUUCAGGAUGUCCUUCUCAAAUGGAUCAUGUUGGACUACUUCCUAUUGACCUGAAAAUCUUGCCACUAGACCCUAAGACUUGGAUUAUAGUUACAGGGCUCAGUCCCCAUAGUCUGCCUUUCAAGUUUAGGUAUAGCUAAUACGUUAAUUUGUACUACAGGCAAUUGUGGGAUCCAAGCUCUUCUAUUACCAUUCUUCGAACUCUGUCUAGUCUCCCAGUCCACCACAGUAAUUUAUGUCCAAUUUCCCAUUUUUAAACAGUUUUAAACCCUUAUUUUACAGUUUUAUUUCAAAAAUACAGGAAAUUUAACACUAUAACAGAAACUUGGGGGAUAAAGAAAAUUAGGGAAAAAUUACAAAAGAACCCUAAGUAAUGCAUUUAUUUUCAUUUUACAGACAAGGAACCUAAAGAGCAAUGAAUAUCAUCCCACAAGUACUUUUCCAUGCAUCUAUAUGUACCUUAAUUCAUAUGCAUAGAUUUCAACCAUGGUUUUGUAUGUGAUGUUUUCCCUAAUAGUCAUCAAUCCAUCUCUCCACUUAUUGAGUCAUCUGACAAAUAUUUAUUUUUGCACUACAAUGCAACAACUUUGGUUUAUAGACUUUUAAAAUGUUUGCUGAUAUGCUAAGCAAAAUAUGAUACAACAUUGUUUAAUUCAUUUUUUCUUUCUAGUAAAGCUGAACUUGUUUUAAAAAUAUUUACUAAUCAUAUUCUAUCACUUUUGAGGUAUCCCUUAAAUAUUUUGCCUAUUUGCCAUUUGUGUUUUGAGUCCUUUGUGACUUUUUAUUUAUAUGAAAACAUUACGUAUUACAAACAUCUAUCCUUCAUUGGUCAUAAGUGCUGUAAUACUAAUUAAUUAACUAAGCUACUACAAUUUGAGGUAAGGUUCAUAAUUGUCUUCCUCACAGGUUCUCUUUAGGCCUCUGUAAUACCUGAGACACUGUCUUCUCUACAGCCCGGUUGUUAUAUUGCCCUUUUAUUUGUUAUUUUUUAAGUUUUCAUUUAAAAGAUUCUCUUUUUAAUCUAUUCCAAAGUGUUGGAAGCUGACCUAUACAAGUUCCUUCCACCCACUCUUCCAGUACAGUUUUCUGAGGACACAUAGGACAUAUUUUUUUAAACAGAAAAACAAAAAGUGGACCUUCUACUGAAACCAGGUAGGACCAGAGUCAGCUCCACAGGCCCCUGUGGCAGUUUUGCCAAAGCAGGCCUUAUGGAGUGAGUGUGUGAAGUCAGGGGAAUUGAACCCUCCCUCCUGUGAGGAAAGGGCUGAGUCAACUCAUGUUCUCUUUAGUGAAAUAAUUCAAAUUCAGUUGGGAAAGCCUCCAUUAUGACAUUCCCCGGCACCCUUCUUAUACUUUAGGUAUUGAAGGCAGCUCCCUCCUUUAUGGUUGGUUUUAGUAGACAAAGAAACAAAGGAAUACAGUAUAUACAUAAUAUAUAUGUAUACAUACACACACAUAUUUAGGGGGAGGGAAAGGAGAGGAGGGUCAUAUAAACCUAAAACAGUUAUCACAUAUCUCAUUACCGCCAAAUGAGCCUGUAUCAGGUUCACGACUAUGCCAAAGGUCAUGAUGAGGUCUGGAGGGAGUGGGUGGGCAAGCAGAAAGAACACUCGGGGGGCCGUAGGCAGGUGAAAGAUGAUUUUAUUCAGCAGCACUUCUCAUCAACAGCUUUCUCACGCUAGCUCUCUACACUGUUCGCCUGUGUCUCGGCUGUCUGCUCCCGCUCUGUGGCCCCUGCUGCCCCGACACCUGCAGCUGUAUGGCCUGCUCUCCCUUGGCCUCAGGGUCAACAGCUUAACUCUUUCUCUGGGCACAAGCAAUCCAAGCUGUAUCCUGGCUCCCCAGGGAGCAUCUGCAAAUAUGGACAGCCCUGACUCUCUCUUUCUGUGGACGCCAGCACGCCCGCCAUGUCAAGCCAUGUUGAGCUGAGCCGAGCCCCAAGAGCCAUGUCUCUUGUGCACAGUGUCGACAGGGCAGUUCUACCUUUUACAGCAAUAGUGGCUCAGAGCCAAGUAUGAACUUACACAAACAAGUUAUAUAACAAGUGGAGGUGCACACUCACGCACCAAACUCGCUUGGAUAUCCACCUUGGCCUAUUCCUUGACCAAAGCACAUCCAUGUACCUUACACUCCACCCCCUAGGCUGAGGGAAACAUAGGCCCUGGACACACAGGUUUUAUACACAGGUUUGGCACACAGGCCUGGCAUAUAAGCUUUGGGCACACAGGCCUGAUACAUACACAUAGGCUUCUGGGCACAUAGGCCUGACACAUAAGCCUUAUACAUAGGCUCUGGGCACACAAGCCCAUCACAUACAUAAGCUUCAAUAAACUGCUCGGCUGUUGGCACAGAUUACCAUAGGUGUUGCAACAUUGGUGAUUACUGUUCACAUUGCCCUGAGUGCAGCUCAUUAGCUACUUUGCCUACACCUGGUUUUAACCCAUAUGGUGUUAGUACUAGGCUGGACUGUGGCAGCAAUCCAGGCAGCAGUAGCUCCCUGCCUACACAUAUCUGUGUACCAAGCCCUAUUAGGAAUGGGAGAAUGCCCUUCCUAAUGAUGAAGGCUUAGGGUUUAGGGGUGCCUCAGGCCCCAUGGCCUUACUUGGCAUUAGGACUACAGGUCCCAAGACUUCCUGUAACUCUACUGCUAAGGGACUUGUAAUCAGUGUACUUUACUGCUGUAAGUAGGCUCCCCACUUUGCUAAAGUGGAUGUCUGUGCUGUCCCAGUCGAUGGGGUCAUUACCCACGAGUGUACCCACCCCACUGUUGGGAAAGUUGUCUGCCUGAUGAUUGUAGCCAUUCCUGCCAUGCUCUUAUGAGCCUGAAGGGCAGUAUAUACAGUUACUAACUGCUUUCCCUGUCCAGGGGGUGGUUAUCCAUGAACACACCCAUCCUAUUAUUACUAACUGCUUCUGUAUCAAGGAAUACUGGAGCUCAGCUCCCUUGCAUAAUUGGGACCAAAAGCCUACUGGCAUACUCAGGCACUCAUGCACUGCCAUAGGCCCUAACUGAAACUAUCUGUGGUCACAUGCACAUCUAGCUUAAAUGGGCACCUCUGGUCAACUACCCAUAGGGCUUGUGCUUGCUGAAUAGCCUACUUGGCUACCAGGAAGGCUGUCUCAGCUGCAUCAUCCCAAUCCCAGGCAAGAAGGGCAUUGCUGCUUCUAAACCUGCAAGAGAAUCAGAAGUGAAUAUAACAUUAUUAACAAGACCAUGACAUAUGGUGGGGCUAUGCAUAUAAGCCCUGAAGCAACACUGUGAAAGUCCGUCGUCACCCUCCCAUGAAGGCAAACUGUUCCUGGCUCUCUGGAGCAAUGUCAAUGGAGAAGAAUGCAUUAGCCAAGUCCCAUCACAAAGUGGUACUGUCCCAGUUCCAUUGUCAAACAGCCAUCAAGUCUAUGAUGGAAGGUCCAGCUGCAUGCAGAGGGGAUGUUGCUUUAUUCAGUUCCUGAUAAUCCACUGUCAUCUGCCAAGUUCCAUCAGGCUUUUUGACUGGUUAUACUAGAGAAUCAUAGGGGUUAUGGGUGCACCUCCUCUAACUUCUUAUUAGUCUCAGUUAUCUCUGUGUGCUCCCCCGCCGCCCCCCAGUAAACGGUAUUGAUGAGUGGAAGUAAGUUGUUGGGGUUGUGGCAGAACUUGGGGCUGGUGAUGUGUAUGGAGUACUGGCUUUACUACACGAACCAGGAUUCCAAAUUCUCUGGCUGUGGUGUGUAAGUCCAGAUCAUGCAAAAUGUCCACCCCCAGAAUAUAUUCAUGUAUAGGAGAAACAUACAGAGUGUACAGGUGGAUAGCAGAGUAGCCAAUGCCAAUAUAGAUUCACCAUCACAGAUUGGCCCCCAUAACUGUCAAUGAAUGCAGCUUUUCCCAGAAACUUAUCCAGGUUCCCAUAAACUAGACUGCAGUCUGCACCAGUGUCUACCAGUGCUAGGGCCCGCUGUACAUUAGUAGGGGACCAGAGGAUUGCCAGCUCCUCAUAUAGCCUCCAGUUGUCCAGUUCCCCUGAGUUGGGCAACUCAGCCAGUUCCCUAAUCAAACAGGAAAGGCCUAAUGUCUUCUCCCAUCUGCAAAUAGUCCUUGAGCUGAAAAGUUUCCAGGUGGGGCUGGGUUGAACAACAUUGUCUUGCCCCUCCUUGGGCAUUCUUCAGAAUUGCAGCUCUGGGGACGAUUGCCUCCACAGAGCCAACAGCAUUCCAUUGGGUUGCCUGUCAAUUUUCUCUCUAGUAACCCCAGCUGCAAGUAAAUCAAUCCACAUCCGCAUGUGGGUCACCCGCCUGGGCCCCUUUUAAUCUCGUGGAUGGUUACUUGUGAAGGGUGCACCUUCCAUUUCUUUACGGCGUGGACUCCCAGGUCCCGCCAAUGGCCUUCUGCCUCCCCAAGGGCUGCCAUAGCAAUAGUCACUUUGUGUAUGCGGUGUCCUACAUACGGGGUGAGAACAGCAGCUAGAGGGCCAAAGCAUCCGGGGGUGCUGAACUCAGCACAAGAUCCCUCAUAGGGGAGGUAAAGCGUUCAUCAUCUGGCCCCAGAUAUUCUGAUCAAACAGCCUGCUGCAUAUUGCAUAUCCGUCUCCCGGAGCACCUGCACCAAAUCAGUAUAUGAUUGCCAUUUACUCACAGUUUCUGGGGUCUCUCUGGCAUCAUUCCAAACAGUCCGUAUGGCUGCCGUCAGCCACUUGAUUUACAUGUAGUCACUUUGCCCUUGUGUUAACCGUUGGCACAGCUGCAGCCGCCGAUGAAGGGAAGGGUGAGUUGUGAUAGAAGCCAGAUUCUCCAUCUCAGAGGCGGAGCAAGAAAUGCUAUCAGCUCCUUCAGACGCUGCCAGACUGUUUACCUACUUCCCUCAAAUCAGUGGGGGUAUAAGCACUAUAAGAGGUAUGUGCCACCACUGUGAGGGGUCCUGGGAUCUCGCCUGCGGUCCCAUUGGCUGCUCAUGUUCUACCUUCUGAUGGAUCACAGGGUGAUCCAGCAGUGGAGGAACCUCCUCCUCAGCAUCAGACUGAAUCGGAGUGUCCCGCCAGGAGGAUGGGCUCAAGGCCGGGCUGACAGCUGUUGCUAAAUCCUGUUCCUGGCUAUUUAUCUGGGCCUCUAAGUGCCCUGCUUGCACCUGGAGGUCCCCCACCCCCAGGUCCUGCUCCAAGCUGUGCACUUGGGCCCCCAGGUGCUCAGCUUGUCCUGGGAGGUCCCUUACCUGUGGAACUGAGCAUGUACUUCCUGCAGUGCUGUCAGAAACGCCCAUCCGACGCUGCCAGCAAAGGUGCAUUCCUUCUUGGUGCUGUGUGCUCGCACACUUGCAGGAGACCUCUCCACUGCCUCCCGCGUUUCCACUGGGGCUCAUCCAAGCAGCACCGCUGCCCCUGGGUACAGCCCGUGCUGCAGCCACAUAGCUGACCCAGGAGCCCUCAGGGGCCAAAGACCUACUCACUUCAUCCUGCCAACGUCGCAAUUGUCAGAAAGGUUCUCAUUCUGUCACCCAGACUGGAGUGCAGUGGUGCAAUCUCGUCUCACUGCAGCUUCAACCUCCCAAUCUCAGCUGAUCCUCCUUCUGCAGUCCCCCAAGCUGGGACUACAGGUGCACAUCACCAUGCCUGGGAUCAAAAUCCAAAUUGACUGUAUGAUCAUCACUGGCAUCUUCCAAAGUUGCUUUCAUCAGAAACUAUGUCCCAGCAUUCCAGCCCCACCACUGUCCCUACCAACCCUUUGAAGCUUCUACUUCUCAAUUUUUCCUCCAUCUGGUCUAUCACCCAUUCUUUUGCCAUUAUUUUCUGCCUUCAUACCUUGUAUUAUUGCAAAAUUAAUUUCACUGGCCUUUUUGCUAUUGUUGAUAUCAGAAUCCAUUUGAUGCAGUACUCACCAAGCAUUUUGAGCCCCCUAAACCUUCUGAAGACCCCUUACCAAUCUGUUUCUGUAUUGGCUUCUAUCAUUCCAAAUUUUUUGCUUCUGUUGGUACUGACAAUGAAUUAUAUACCCCCUUAUGCACUAUAUUCCCACUGCCUUGCAUGUAGAAAGUGUUUAAUAUGAGUUAAUUAAAUAAGUUAUUGAAUAAAGCAGACUUGCUAGUCUCAAUAUUUUAUAGUUCCCAUCCGUCAUUACAGGUGUUUUCUUCUCUCCCUAAUUACUCCUUCUACUACCAUGUUUGUUUUCUGCUGCUUUAAACUAUUUAUGUUAAGUC
rnacentral:lncRNA from 10 species